GCAAGUCGAACGAGACCUUCGGGUCUAGUGGCGCACGGGUGCGUAACGCGUGGGAAUCUGCCCUUGGGUUCGGAAUAACAGUUAGAAAUGACUGCUAAUACCGGAUGAUGUCUUCGGACCAAAGAUUUAUCGCCCAGGGAUGAGCCCGCGUAGGAUUAGCUAGUUGGUGGGGUAAAGGCCUACCAAGGCGACGAUCCUUAGCUGGUCUGAGAGGAUGAUC
rnacentral:rRNA from 1 species